GGUCGAUCAACUUUUUAACCGACAUAAGCUUGUCCCGACGAUAUCGCAUUCAAAAACGACUAAAUUAAGAUAAUUUAAAAAUUAUUUUUAAGUUCCAUUCAAUUAACAGUUCAGAAACCUUAAUAAUAAACAUAUGAAAUCUAGAUAAUAUAAAUAAAUAAACAUAAAAACUAUGGUAACUCAGCAUACGACUUCUUGCCUUCCAUACAAAUUACAGCUGUCCCCAGAGCGAGGUGGCUAUAUGUAAUUUCUAAUGUAAGAAAAAUUUUCCUUUAAAAGUAUUCAAGUCAGCUAAUAAAUUGCUUAUAAAUUAAACAAGGUUUAGUUUGUACUUUGUAAAAUAUAAAAAUAUGUUAUGAUUUUAAAGAAAAAAGUCCCUAAAACUGUGUCCCGAAUUCAUCCCAUUUUGUAGUGUAUGCAGAGUUACCGUGUAAAAAAUAAACAAACAUUAUGCUACACGUCACAAAUUUCUAAUGAAGAACGGCGGUACAACCUUUGUUCUUGGCCGCGCGGCGGCGAGCCUUUGAUUGCAGCCGCCGCGCGGCCAGGCCGCGGCAAGCUAUCGAUGAGUGCGCGUGUGUUUAUUCAGUGUCGGCGGAGUUACCGGAUUAUUUCGAUGAACAGAUUGUAAACUCACUAAUAAUGGCGUUAACGGCGGCCGAAAAGCAGAAAAGGUUCCGUGAAAAAUU